GACGAACGCUGGCGGCGUGCUUAACACAUGCAAGUCGAACGGAAAGGCCCUGCUUGUGUGGGGUGCUCGAGUGGCGAACGGGUGAGUAACACGAGAGUAACCUGCCCUUGACUUUGGGAUAACUUAAGGAAACCGGGGCUAAUAUCGGAUAGGAGCUCCUGAGGCAUGGAGGGGGUUGGAAAGUUUGGGCGGUGGUGGUUGGACGCGCGGCUGACGGGCUUGUUGGUGGGGGAGGGGCUUACCAAGGCUUUGGCGGGUAGGCGGCCUGGGUGGGUGACCGGCGACAUUGGGACUGAGGGACGGCCCAGAGUCCUACGGGGGGCAGCGGUGGGGAAUAUUGCACAGUGGGGGGGAGCGUGAUGCAGCGACGCCGCGUGCGUGAUGACGGCCUUCGGGUUGUAAACCGCUUUCGCCUGUGACGAAGCGUGAGUGACGGUAAUGGGUAAAGAAGCACCGGCUAACUACGUG
rnacentral:rRNA from 1 species